GGUGGUUCUCAGGUGAAGCUCCCAGAAUCAGGUUCCCUCCUCUCUGGUUCUGGGUGUGUCACCCGAGAACCACA
rfam:Myotis lucifugus cont2.36327, whole genome shotgun sequence.